rnacentral:rRNA from 1 species
AUGUUUCUAUCCGGCAAGCUUUCACACCGGCAAGGCUUCACUCCGGCAAGGUUCGUACUCCGGCCAGGGUUCCUCUCUGACAAGGUUUCACUCCGGCAAGGUUUGUACUCCGGCAAGGGUUUUACUCCGGCAAGGUUUGUACUCCGGCCAGGGUUCCUCUUUGACAAGGGCUCAGUCUGUUUGCUGUACAAACCUCUGAAGGCACUAUUUACUGGUGACCAUGUCGCGAAAUCAGAAGAAUCAGAUCUAAACCUCUUUCUGAUGUACAUGGGUGUGCAACUGGACAGCAUCAGGAAGUUACUGGAUGUAGAUUUUGGGUGGUUUUUACCUGGGCAUGGCUACCGAAUCCGGUAUGCAGAUGUAUAUGCCAAGAAUUCAGCUAUUGAGGCUCUCCUUGCAGACUACACAAACUAA